rnacentral:rRNA from 1 species
CUCUCGGCAACGGAUAUCUCGGCUCUCGCAUCGAUGAAGAACGUAGCGAAAUGCGAUACCUGGUGUGAAUUGCAGAAUCCCGCGAACCAUCGAGUCUUUGAACGCAAGUUGCGCCCGAGGCCUUCUGGCUGAGGGCACGCCUGCCUGGGCGUCACGCCAAACA